rnacentral:rRNA from 1 species
UACAGAGGGGGCAAGCGUUGUUCGGAAUUACUGGGCGUAAAGGGCGCGUAGGCGGCCUGUUAAGUCGAACGUGAAAUCCCUAGGCUCAACCUAGGAACUGCGUCCGAUACUGGCAGGCUCGAAUCCGGGAGAGGGAUGCGGAAUUCCAGGUGUAGCGGUGAAAUGCGUAGAUAUCUGGAGGAACACCGGUGGCGAAGGCGGCAUCCUGGACCGAGAUUGACGCUGAGGCGCGAAAGCCAGGGGAGCAAACGGA